CCUACGGGGGGCAGCAGUGAGGAAUAUUGGUCAAUGGCCGAAAGGCUGAACCAGCCAAGUCGCGUGAAGGAAGAAGGUGCCAAGGAUUGUAAACUUCUUUUGUCAGGGAACAAAAUCAGCCUCGAGUGGGUGACGGAGAGUACCUGAAGAAAAAGCAUCGGCUAACUCCGUGCCAGCAGCCGCGGUAAUACGGAGGGUGCGAGCGUUAUCCGGAUUUAAUGGGUGUAAAGGGUGCGUUGGCGGCGUGACAAGUCUGCGGGGAAAGCCUGCGGCCCAACCGCGGGACUGCAGUUGAAACUGCCGGGCUGGAGUGUCGGAGAGGUAGGCGGAAUGCCUGGUGUAGCGGUGAAAUGCGUAGAUAUUAGGAGGAACACCAGUUGCGAAGGCAGCCUACUGGACGCCGACUGACGCUGAGGCUCGAAAGCGUGGGGAGCAAACAGGAUUAGAUACCCCAGUAGUC
rnacentral:rRNA from 1 species